rnacentral:rRNA from 1 species
UAGGGAAUCUUCGGCAAUGGACGAAAGUCUGACCGAGCAACGCCGCGUGAGUGAAGAAGGUUUUUCGGAUCGUAAAACUCUGUUGUUAGAGAAGAACAAGGGUGAGAGUAACUGUUCACCCCUUGACGGUAUCUAACCAGAAAGCCACGGCUAACUACGUGCCAG